ensembl:misc_RNA Metazoa_SRP Metazoan signal recognition particle RNA
GCCAGGUGUGGUGGCACACACGUGUAGUCCCAGCUACUUGGGAGGCUGAGCUGGGAGAAUCACUUGAGCCCAGGAGUGUGAGGCUGCAGUGAGCUAUGCUUGUACCUGUGAAUAGCCACUGCAUUCCAACCUAGGCAAUAUAAUGAGACCCUAUCUCUA